rnacentral:tRNA from 2 species
CUCCCUGUAGUUCAAUGGAUAGAACGAGUGCCUCCUAAGCGCUAGAUACAGGUUCGAUUCCUGUCGGGGGGA